CAACAGAUUUAUGUCCAGUAAGCGUGACCUCGACGCACUGAGCCUGAACUAGGACCAAAGUCUCCUAUACAGACAUGGGCUAUAUUAUAAGAGCUUGAAGACUAGCCGGAGCACAGCAUUCCUGACCGGGCUGCCUCCCACCACUGUUCCCACAGUUCCAUUGAAGUGCUGAACGUGUUGAGGUACGGGGGUCGAAGGUCAUUCCAUCACACAACGGGAUUACAAUGACUACAGCCACGGACGCCAGCGGCUCAGACCGGGUGCAGUACAACCGAUGGAAUGAAGAUAACAUCAACGUCGACGUAGCCGCCUCACAACCCGGCCUGGUGGGGUUCUACAACAGACUGUGUACGGGCAGCAUGGGCUUGGUGGUCAAAGUGGCCGGAGGUGUGACUGCUCUGGUGUCUGUUUACCUUCUCGGCUACGUCACUGGCUACUAUGUCCACAAAUGCCUAUGAGUGGCCUCAUUAGAACCGAGACCCACUUAGGAACAUGCAUUUCAGAAAUGAUGAUUUCAAUAUAUUUCAGAUACAAGGGAAACAAGUCUUCCUCUUGGCUUUUUUUGUUUAUUCAUAUUUUAAUAAAACACCCGUUGGAAAUGUCAUGCUUGUCAAUGGAAUUAGGGCAAUGUUGUCCCAUUAAAAGGUGAUAUUUAAUGAAAUUUCAAA